UACGUAGGGUGCAAGCGUUGUCCGGAAUUAUUGGGCGUAAAGAGCUCGUAGGCGGUUUGUCGCGUCGGCUGUGAAAGCCCGGAGCUCAACUCCGGGUCUGCAGUCGAUACGGGCAGACUUGAGUGUUGCAGGGGAGACUGGAAUUCCUGGUGUAGCGGUGAAAUGCGCAGAUAUCAGGAGGAACACCGGUGGCGAAGGCGGCUUUCUGGGCUGUAACUGACGCUGAGGCGCGAAAGCGUGGGGAGCAAACAGG
rnacentral:rRNA from 1 species